rnacentral:lncRNA from 1 species
CGCCAUUCUCCUGCCCCAGCCUCCCAAGUAGCUGGGACUACAGGUGCCCGCCACCUCGCCCGGCUAGUUUUUUGUAUUUUUUAGUAGAGACGGGGUUUCACCGUGUUAGCCAGGAUGGUCUCGAUCUCCUGACCUCGUGAUCCGCCCGUCUCGGCCUCCCAAAGUGCUGGGAUUACAGGCUUCAGCCACCGUGCCCGGCACUCACAUUAUUGAAUACUACUGUAUACCUUGUAAUGGACCAAGUACUUUAUGUUCCUGAUCUCAUUCCCCUAACAAACUUAGGAGGGUAAAUUCUCCCUAAUCUGGGAUGUAGGGAAGUUGAAUACAUUGACUAAAAUUAUAUAGGCUCUACAACUAAAGUGCUGAAUGAGAAUAUCAUAUAAUCACUGUAUUUACAUUUUAAUAUUCUUGAAGGUAACAACCUUUUCUUUAAAAAUGUAUCAUACAUUUGUGUUGUUCACUGUGUUUCUUAUGUUUCCAGAGACCACUACAGUGAUUGGCUCUGUAGUCGGCAAUUCACUUAUUUGUGGAACAAACAUUCAACAUUAGAUGAAUGAAUGAUGGAUGACAUAUUUUGGGUCCCCUUCAAUGCUCUGUUGGACCUUGAUAUGGUUUGGCUGUGUGUUCCCAUCCAAAUCUCACCUUGAAUUGUAAUCCCCGUAAUCCCUACAUGUCAAGGAUGGGACCAGGUUGAGGUAAUUGAAUCAUGGGGGGUAGUUUCCCCUAUGCUGUUCUCAUGAUAAUUUGUGAGUCUCAGGAGACCUGAUGGUUUUAUAAGCAUCUGGCAUUUCCCCUGCUUGCACUCAUUCUCUCUCCUUCCACCCUAUGAAGAGGUGCCUUCUGCCUUGAUUGUAAGUUUCCUGAGGACUCCCCUGCCUUGUGGAACUGUGAGCUAAUUAAACCUUUUUCUUUGUAAAUUGCCCAGUCUUGGGUAUUCAUAGCAGCAUGAGAACGGACUAAUACAGACCUACUGCAUAAUUUGUGGAGACUUGUGCAAAAUGAAAAUGCAGGGUGCCAUGUUCAAAACUUAUUAAGAAUUUCAAG